rnacentral:rRNA from 2 species
GGUGUGAAUUGCAGAAUCCCGUGAACCAUCGAGUCUUUGAACGCAAGUUGCGCCCGAAGCCAUUAGGCCGAGGGCACGUCUGCCUGGGCGUCA